GUAGGGGUGUCUCCCGUAAGUUAUUUUUAGACUGUUAACUUGUGGUGUUAAAAGUCCUAAGUUAGGGCGGGGGAU
rnacentral:tRNA from 1 species